rnacentral:rRNA from 1 species
UACGAAGGGGGCUAGCGUUGCUCGGAAUCACUGGGCGUAAAGCGCACGUAGGCGGCUUACUAAGUCAGGGGUGAAAUCCUGGAGCUCAACUCCAGAACUGCCUUUGAUACUGGUGAGCUUGAGUCCGGAAGAGGUGAGUGGAACUGCGAGUGUAGAGGUGAAAUUCGUAGAUAUUCGCAAGAACACCAGUGGCGAAGGCGGCUCUCUGGGACGGUACUGACGCUGAGACGCGAAAGCGUGGGGAGCGAACAGG